UGGUGUUGUAGCUAUCAGCAUCACAGCUAUAUCCUCCUCUGAGUGGUUCAGACUCUGCUUCAAAUGUUGUGAAAGUUAGUAUGUGCCUAGGGAAAGCAACAACCCUUUGGUCAGGGAAAGACUUCAGGGAAGUCCCCAGAAGACUUCCUGACCUGGAAGGAGCACUGUGAGGUUUCUCUUGAGAAAUCACCAGGAAAGACAGCAAUGAGGGAUGGGCCAUGAGCCAAAGGAGCCAUCUUGGCAGACUGCACAAACCCUGCAGAUCACAGGCUGAAUCCCUCCUGACUGAAACAAUAAAGCUGC
rnacentral:lncRNA from 1 species